rnacentral:lncRNA from 1 species
CUCUUGCAGUCAGUAAGUGGCAGAACAACAGGGAUAUAAACCAAUAUUCAAAGAUCUGUUCUCUCCCCUCCGGGGCCAGCUGCUUCCUGGGAAAGAAGCAUAGCCUUAUUGUGAUGCAGCUACUUUCUAGCAAAGCAGAAUUCUAAAUCUGGAAACAGAUUCUCAGCAAUUCCUAUGGAUUCCUUGUAUCUUGAAUAAUGAGAGGCAUCAUGCAGAAAUUAGGUUCAACAUCCAUGGUUUCCAUUUCCUUUCUGUUGUAAUGAACAUUAUAACAAUGUUGCUGACUCACUAAAUUCUGGGUUUCAACUUCUUUGAAAGGUGUUUAUAACUCAACAAAUGUCGCCAGGACAAGUGGAGACAAUGAUAAAAGAUAUCAAGGUGCAAAAAUGUCUCAUGCAAAUCUCUUUGACCUGAAGUAACUGAAGGCACCUUCAAAACAGGACUCUAUUGCUUACUCAGCAGAUCCACAAUGAACACCACUCGCCACAUCUUGUUCUCCUGGACUCCAAAUCACCGGGGUUUAAUUAGACAUUUCUGAAACCAAGCCUGGCUUCUGCGAACCCAUCGUGGAUGAAUUGAGCCACAAUGAUGCAAUGGGAUUAGCUUAUGUCUUUGUGGUUUACACAGAUAAAGAAGGCUUGCCAAAGUAGACUUUCACUCUGCCUUGAAGCGUGCAAACACAGAGUUCUGUCUUCCUUGAUGAAUCAGAUUCUUGCCAAACGAAAGCUUUAAUGACAAAACUAUGCUCCGAAGAAAGGACAAGGUGAUAGCCUGAGACACUUGAGAGAAACACCACAGAGUGUUCCUUGGGCUAUUAGAAUUUAGAAAAUUAAGAACCAGGCUGUGAACAGCCCUCCACACCCAACUUGUGCCCCUCAUCC